rnacentral:misc_RNA from 1 species
GAUGCAGCAGUUGAUGGGGGUAUUUCGUGGGGUCGACGUCGAUAGCAUGGCUAGUCCGGAAGGCGCAAUUGGGACGUGAAAAAGCGCCUCCAUCUCUCCCUUUGCUGACCGUAGUGGUUUGGUUGUCUUCUGCCUGUUGGUUCAAGGGCCUUGGGUUUUUUUCCUUAUCUCCCUUUAGCAACUAGAACUAUCUCUAGCUCGAAAGUUCUGCUGCUCAUUAUGAUGUUCUUGUUGA